AAUAAAUCAACUUUAGGGUGGUACAGAUUUAUGGGGUUCAGUUUGAGUUACUUUAUCUUUGUCUUUAAAAAUCACCCUUCAUGCAGCCUUACAAGCUGAAAAUAUUUUCUGUUUUCUUGAUUUUAGUCUGCAUCAUAUUGAACAAACAGAAGCCUGGAGUAACGCGAUUUGAAUUUUAAACUGUAUCACAGCCUCACUUGACACAGAUUUCUGAUUGGUUGAUCACAGUGGGAGGGAAAACUCUGUGGUUGACGUCACCAACGGGCCGGAAUCUGCAAGCGGGAGAAGUGCAGAGAACGAGACUUUUGACGAGCGUUUGUCGUAUUUUUUCUGCGUUUUAACAAUCCGUGGGAUGAAUCUCCAACAUAUUUUUUGCUUGUCUGGAAAAGAUUCAAGUAAAAUCUUUGAAGUUUGAACGGUGAUCUAAAUUCUACACGUGAAAAUGAGUGAAUCAGAACCCAUGUUCCUCCACACUGCCAUUAUGGAGGUCCUACCAGAGCCACACGACAUCCUGGAAGAACACUUGCAGUCCAUUGGAAUAAAUGGAGUUGUAUGACGAUCUACGAUUCAUAGAAGAGGCUGACUUGCUGCCAGCUUUGAGACCUGUUCAAGCCUGGAAACGUCUUGCUUUCUGGAAAUUGAAAUACCAAACGCCAGAGAACAGCACAUCGUCAUCUGUUGAGACCUCACCAACACAAUCAUUAUCACUUUUGUUAUAGUCACCGAGAUGUUCGUCAUCCACAUCUUCCAGAAGCCGAGGACUGUACAUACAUUGACUGGGAGGACAGCUUUGAAAUUCCAUGGAUUUAAUGAGGAGGAUGCCAUGUUCUUGUAGAAGAUGCAGACGAGGUCCAGAUGCAGCAGGUGCUGUUGACUCCAACUGUUAUUGUAUGUGGACAGUCUUGCUUUUCCCCAAGGAGGUUCAUGCUCAGUUGGGACCGCUCCAUCGUACACAACAACAUUGCAGCACUGUGCCUGAUG